GGUACUGGAAGGUCCUCAGGCCGAAAGNGGCUCUGCCCGCCCGAGGAUGGGCCGGCGGCCGAUUAGGUAGUUGGUGGGGUAACGGCCCACCAAGCCGAAGAUCGGUACGGGCCAUGAGAGUGGGAGCCCGGAGAUGGACACUGAGACACGGGUCCAGGCCCUACGGGGCGCAGCAGGCGCGAAACCUCCGCAAUGCGGGCAACCGCGACGGGGGGACCCCCAGUGCCGUGGCAACGCCACGGCUUUUCCGGAGUGUAAAAAGCUCCGGGAAUAAGGGCUGGGCAAGGCCGGUGGCAGCCGCCGCGGUAAUACCGGCGGCCCGAGUGGUGGCCGCUAUUAUUGGGCCUAAAGCGUCCGUAGCCGGGCCCGUAAGUCCCUGGCGAAAUCCCACGGCUCAACCGUGGGGCUUGCUGGGGAUACUGCGGGCCUUGGGACCGGGAGAGGCCGGGGGUACCCCUGGGGUAGGGGUGAAAUCCUAUAAUCCCAGGGGGACCGCCAGUGGCGAAGGCGCCCGGCUGGAACGGGUCCGACGGUGAGGGACGAAGGCCAGGGGAGCGAACCGGAUUAGAUACCCGGGUAGUCCUGGCUGUAAAGGAUGCGGGCUAGGUGUCGGGCGAGCUUCGAGCUCGCCCGGUGCCGAAGGGAAGCCG
rnacentral:rRNA from 1 species